UACGUAGGGGGCAAGCGUUGUCCGGAAUCAUUGGGCGUAAAGCGCGUUUAGGCGGGCCGGUAAGUCCGCUGUGAAAGUCGGGGGCUCAACCCUCGGAUGCCGGUGGAUACUGUCGGGCUAGAGUGCGGGAGAGGCGAGUGGAAUUCCUGGUGUAGCGGUGAAAUGCGCAGAUAUCAGGAAGAACACCAAUGGCGAAGGCAGCUCUCUGGGACGGUACUGACGCUGAGACGCGAAAGCGUGGGGAGCGAACAGG
rnacentral:rRNA from 1 species